GUUUGUUUAUUGUCAGCUGCUUUUAUCAAAUUCCAGGCCAUUAUCCAGCAACACUAUUAAAAUGUUUGAACAGUUGGGUUUCAAACAUUUUCGUUUUGUGGAGUGGUGCUUAUCAAGUGGUACAGCGCUCUAAGCAAGUGAACA
rnacentral:lncRNA from 1 species